rnacentral:rRNA from 1 species
ACGGGGCGAGCAGGCGCGGUAAUACGGAGGGUGCAAGCGUUACUCGGAAUCACUGGGCGUAAAGCGCAUGUAGGCGGACUUACAAGUCAGGUGUGAAAGCCUAUGGCUCAACCAUAGAACUGCACUUGAAACUGUAAGUCUAGAGUUCGGGAGAGGCAGAUGGAAUUUCCGGUGUAGGGGUAAAAUCCGUAGAGAUCGGAAGGAAUACCUAUUGCGAAGGCGAUCUGCUGGAACGCAACUGACGCUCAGAUGCGAAAGCGUGGGUAGCAAACAGGAUUAGAUACCCUGGUAGUCCACGCCCUAAACGAUGGGUGCUAGUCGUUAGAGAGCCAGUCUCUUUAGUGAUGCAGCUAACGCAUUAAGCACCCCGCCUGGGGAGUACGGUCGCAAGAUUAAAACUCAAAGGAAUAGACGGGGACCCGCACAAGCGGUGGAGCAUGUGGUUUAAUUCGAAGAUACGCGAAGAACCUUACCUGGGCUUGACAUCCUAAGAACUUUGUAGAGAUACAUUGGUGCUAGCUUGCUAGAACUUAGUGACAGGUGCUGCACGGCUGUCGUCAGCUCGUGUCGUGAGAUGUUGGUUAGUCCCGCACGAGCGCAACCCCCGUCCUUAGUUGCUAACGGUUCGGCCGAGAACUCUAAGGAGACUGCCUUCGCAAGGAGGAGGAAGGUGGGGACGACGUCAAGUCAUCAUGGCCCUUAUGUCCAGGGCAACACACGUGCUACAAUGGGAUGUACAGAGAGAAGCAAUACUGCGAAGUGGAGCAAAUCUCUAAAGCAUCUCUUAGUUCGGAUUGCUCUCUGCAACUCGAGAGCAUGAAGCCGGAAUCGCUAGUAAUCGUGAAUCAGCUAUGUCACGGUGAAUACGUUCCCGGGUCUUGUACUCACCGCCCGUCACACCAUGGGAGUUGCAUUCACCCGAAGCCGGGA